CCUACGGGUGGCAGCAGUGGGGAAUAUUGGACAAUGGGCGAAAGCCUGAUCCAGCCAUGCCGCGUGUGUGAAGAAGGCCUUCGGGUUGUAAAGCACUUUCAGUGGGGAAGAAAGCCUUGGGGCUAAUACCCUCGAGGAAGGACAUCACCCACAGAAGAAGCACCGGCUAACUCCGUGCCAGCAGCCGCGGUAAUACGGAGGGUGCGAGCGUAAUCGGAAUUACUGGGCGUAAAGCGCGCGUAGGCGGUCUGAUAAGCCGGUUGUGAAAGCCCCGGGCUCAACCUGGGAACGGCAUCCGGAACUGUCAGGCUAGAGUGCAGGAGAGGAAGGUAGAAUUCCCGGUGUAGCGGUGAAAUGCGUAGAGAUCGGGAGGAAUACCAGUGGCGAAGGCGGCCUUCUGGACUGACACUGACGCUGAGGUGCGAAAGCGUGGGUAGCAAACAGGAUUAGAUACCCCUGUAGUC
rnacentral:rRNA from 1 species